AUAAUACUCUCUCGGUCCAACAAAAGAUGUCUUAAGUUUGUCAAAAUUUGGAUGUAUAUAGACAUGACUUAGUGUAUAGAUGCAUUCAAAUUUAGUCAAAGUUGAGACAUUCUUUGUUGGACGGAGAGAGUAUAAA
rfam:Brachypodium distachyon strain Bd21 chromosome 2, whole genome shotgun sequence.